rnacentral:rRNA from 1 species
GAGUUUGAUCGUGGCUCAGAUUGAACGCUGGCGGCAUGCUUUACACAUGCAAGUCGAACGGCAGCACGGGGUUUACCCUGGUGGCGAGUGGCGAACGGGUGAGGAAUACAUCGGAACGUGUCUAUAAGUGGGGGAUAACGCAUCGAAAGGUGUGCUAAUACCGCAUAAUCUCUCAGGAGAAAAGCAGGGGAUCGCAAGACCUUGCGCUUUAGGAGCGGCCGAUGCCUGAUUAGCUUGUUGGUAAGGUAAAGCUUACCAAGGCUUCGAUCAGUAGCUGGUCUGAGAGGACGACCAGCCACACUGGGACUGAGACACGGCCCAGACUCCUACGGGAGGCAGCAGUGGGGAAUUUUGGACAUGGGGAACCCUGAUCCAGCCAUGCCGCGUGAGUGAAGAAGGUCUUCGGGUUGUAAAGCUCUUUCAGCCGGAACGAAACGGUUACGAUUAAUACUCGUAAUUAAUGACGGUACCGGCAGAAGAAGCACCGGCUAACUACGUGCCAGCAGCCGCCGUAA